CGGAUGUCGUGGUGAAAGUACUGCGAAAUCAAAGAUGUGUGUGCUGACUGUGUUGGAGUACAAGUGAUGACCGCACUGCUUGAAAUGAAGUCUUCAGUGCCUUCCUCUCUGCAAAAUCAAAGGACGUGGCAAAUUUCUACUUGCCUGCCAUAUGGAAAGCAAAAACCGCAGUAGAAGAUAUUUGUUUCACAGUAUCGAAGAUGAAAAAUUGCUAAUAGCUCUUAAGCUUCUAAGCAGUGUACGAUGGAAAGAAGUAAUGGCAUAAUGUAUGAAAUCAAAUUUAUAGAAUUGUAACUUUUCAUCUAUGGUAACUAUGCUGCUCUACUCUCCAUUUCCUUGAUGGAGACAGGAUUUUUAAGAGAAAUGUAAUGGUAUAAAUUUUUUACAAGGCAAGGUUGUUAGCCCCAUGCCUAACCCCCAGCCUGGAGGAUCAGGAUUUGUAUUGGACUACACUGGGAGUACGCUGGCCAAAUGUUAUCUCAAACCAAGAACUAUGGCAACGCACCCAACAAUGGAAAGCUGAGAUAACCGUAAAAGAAAGGCAAUGGAGAUGGAUUGGACACACCCUGAGAAGAGGCCCGCAACAUAUUCCAAAGCAGGCUUUAGAAUGGAACCAACAGGGAGCAAGGAGGAGAGGCAGACCAAGGUCGACCUGGUGCAGGACUGUUGAAGCUGAGGUGGCAGCCGUUGGCCACUCCUGGAGUAACAUCAAUAAAAUGGCAACGAACAGGAUCAGAUGGAGAGCUCUAAUAUGUGCCCUAUGCUCCACGUUGGAGUAAAAGGAAUUAAGUCAAAUCUAUCUACUAGACCAUAGGUGGGCAACUGGUGACCCAUGGUACAGUUUUGGCCCAUGAUUGGUUUCAAUCCAAACUGCAGAAGAAGUUUGUGGAGCAAGGUGUUAAAAGAUUUUGCAACAGAAACUUUUAAGACAGUUAUUCCAAAAGAAACAAUGUUCCCAAAGGGUAAAUAAAUGUAAACAUCUGAAAAUUGGGUAAACAUAAAAUGAAUGUACUUUCAAAAUUGCACGUUUUGAGUUAUAAUUUGUUGGCAUGGUGUGUUGGGAAAUGGUUGCCGUUCGUAACCAUGUAUUAUGCAUAAAUAUUAAUGUCAGGGGUGCUACAGUUUUGAUGUGAUGUGCUAAGAGUGGUGCUGUCCCAUCUUGUGACGAAGUGGCCCGCAAGCUUAAAUAAGUAUGUGAAUCACGCCCAUGGGUCACUAAAGGUUGCCCCUACCUGUACUGUACCAACAGCUAGGGUGUUCAACUGAUCCUUUCCAUUCCCAUUUCCAAAAAAAAAACUAUACUGUAGAAGUUAAUUUAUUUAUGAUUUUUGUGUCUGCAGUGAUGCAAUUACCAUAUCAUUGAGUGUAAUGUGUCGACUUGUAACAUGCCCGUCUGCAUGCUGUGCACUAACUAGAGGAAGGGGGAAUGCACUGCCACAUAGUUAGCCUUACUUUGAAGAGGUGAGUCAUGCUCAUGCUCACAAUCUAAUAUGAAGCCACCUUAUCAGCAGCCAUUCCCAUGGAAGAGAAUGGCUGCCUAAUUGAGGGCUACUGUCCCAGUCAGAAGGAUCAUGUUGUUUUCAUGCUGCUCCUGAUUCUGAACUUUUUAACUGACAAGGUGGUAAGGAUUUCAAGUCGAACACCGAAGACCAAAGCGUCAUGGAGUUCGUGCUGCAUCCUAUUAGUAUUCAAUCUCCAGCUUUCUACAAAUUCCUCCAUCAUCAUCGUCAGGAGAUUUCAGUACGCCUUUACGUACCAAAAAGCCUAUUGAAAUCUCCUGAUGGAUAACAUAGGGGAAAGAAAGGAAGAUUAUGUUGGUUGGUUUGUUGUUUAAUGGGACUAAACAACUAAGGUCAUCAGUCCCAAAAUAAGAUUUGGGGUUUUGAUGUCCUGUCGAUGAGGUCAGUAGAAAUGGAGCACAAGAUGGAUUGAUUUUGUUAAGGAUGAGGAAGGAAAUUGGCUGUGCCCUAUCAAAGGAACCACUGAAACAUUUGCAUGAAGUGACUUAGUGAAAUCAUGUUCAACUAUUUUUGAGAGUACAAUGGCACACUGCCUCCAACAAUCCAGAUUUGGGUUUAAAUCUGGAUUGUCGGAGGCAGAUUUGAACUGCUGUCCUCCCAAAGUCUAGUGUGCUAACCACUGCAGCACAUUGCUCAUCAACAAUGGAGGAAGUUACUGAAAACUCAAGACUGAAUACAAAUUUGAUGCCACAAGAACACUGUGAACAUUUAUUCAAGA